GUGGGGAAUCUUGCGCAAUGGGCGAAAGCCUGACGCAGCAACGCCGCGUGCGGGAUGACGGCCUUCAAGGUUGUAAACCGCUUUCAGCAGGGACGAAAAUGACGGUACCUGCAGAAGAAGCCCCGGCUAACUACGUGCCAGCAGCCGCGGUAAUACGUAGGGGGCAAGCGUUGUCCGGAUUCAUUGGGCGUAAAGAGCUCGUAGGCGGUUCAGUAAGUCGGGUGUGAAAGCUCCGAGCUCAACUCGGAGAGGCCACCCGAUACUGCUGUGACUUGAGUACAGUAGGGGAGCGUGGAAUUCCUGGUGUAGCGGUGAAAUGCGCAGAUAUCAGGAGGAACACCAGCGGCGAAGGCGGCGCUCUGUGCUGUAACUGACGCUGAGGAGCGAAAGUGUGGGUAGCAAACAGGAUUAGAUACCCGGGUAGUCC
rnacentral:rRNA from 1 species